rnacentral:rRNA from 1 species
AAGGUAUAUCCUGCCCUAUGGAUUUUCUAAAUGGCUGCAGUAUUUUGACUGUACAAAGGUAGCAUAGUAAUUAGUUUCUUAAUUAGGAACUUGUAUGAAUGGAUUUAUGAGAUAUAUAUUUUAUUUAUUUAAAUAUUAAAAUUUUAAUUUUAGGUUAAAAUGCCUAAUAGACUUCUUGGGACGAUAAGACCCUAUAGAACUUUAUAUUUCUAUAAAAUAUUUCUUUUAAGUUUUAUAUUAAAUUUUUUAUUGUAAUAUUUUGCUGGGGUGGUUAGUAAAUUUUAACUUUACUUUAAUUUUUCAUAGAUGUAUGUUAUUUUUGAUCCUUUAUUAAGAUUAUAAGAAGAAGUUACCUUAGGGAUAACAGCGUAAUUUUGGUGGGGAGUUCAUAUCUAUACUAAUUUUGCGACCUCGAUGUUGAAUUAAGAAAAAUCUAAGAAGCAGAAUUCUUAGCUUUAAGUCUGUUCGA